GCACGCAGUAUUUGUGGAAACUUUCCUUAACCUCGCCAUUUAGAGGAAGGUGAAGUCGUAACAAGGUUUCCGUAGGUGAACCUGCGGAAGGAUCAUUA
rnacentral:rRNA from 1 species